AUGGGUGGCAAAGGUGGUAGCGGCGGUGGUGGCGCAAAAGGAGGCGGUGGAGGCGCUAAAGGUGGAGGCGGUGGUGGUGGUGGUGGAAGCAAAGGGUCCAGUGGAAGCGGUGGUGGAGGAGGUUCAAUGAAAGCCCCAGGUGGUGGUGGGUCAACUAUAUCCCGUGGAGCAUUCGAAAGUAAUCCUCAGGGAUACUUCAGUGGUCUUCAUGCUGCGGAAAAAGGCAAUAACUAG